CAGCAGCCGCGGUAACACGUAGGGUGCAAGCGUUAAUCGGAAUUACUGGGCGUAAAGCGUGCGCAGGCGGUUUUGUAAGACAGAGGUGAAAUCCCCGGGCUCAACCUGGGAACUGCCUUUGUGACUGCAAGGCUAGAGUACGGCAGAGGGGGAUGGAAUUCCGCGUGUAGCAGUGAAAUGCGUAGAUAUGCGGAGGAACACCGAUGGCGAAGGCAAUCCCCUGGGCCUGUACUGACGCUCAUGCACGAAAGCGUGGGGAGCAAACAGGAUUAGAUACCCGAGUAGUCCCUGUCUCUUAUAC
rnacentral:rRNA from 1 species